UCCCACGUGGUCUAGUGGUUAGGAUACCUGGCUCUCCCAGGAGGACCGGAUUCGAUUCCCGGCGUGGGAA